AGAGGCGGAGCUGGUCGAAGGUCUAUGGCGUGGUAAAAUACCAACUAGAAACUGUAGGGGGUCAUCUAAAGGAGUGGGAGAGAAGGGGAGGGGGAGAGAGACGGCUUCUCGCUGCCUGGGAAUUGGUAUUUGAAGGGGAUCUUGAAAGGUGAUUAGGAAAAACCUCAGGUUGGUUCUGGGUAAAGUUCCGGCAGAAAAGCGAAUAAGAGGAAAGACAAAGAAAAAAAGAAUCUCCAAGUGCAAAGCAUGGUUGGUGAAAAUUCCUCGGCCACCCUUUUGGCUGCAUUUCAGGAGCAGUUGGCAGUAAGGCCGGAAAGAUCUGCUUUAAAUAAUCCAGCAGAAGAGGGCUACAGAUGCAACAAGACCUUAAUUUCUGAAGCUGGGUAACAGCCUGAUCCUGCAAAGGAUUAAAGGAAACCUGAAGCAUUACCUACCUGUUUGUCUUUUUGUUGCCUUCGAUCUCCUGAUGGCCAGAGUCUCCAGGAAUCAUUAUCAAUAACGUCAGCAAG